rnacentral:rRNA from 1 species
UACGUAGGGGGCAAGCGUUGUCCGGAAUUAUUGGGCGUAAAGGGCUCGUAGGCGGUUCGUCACGUCGGGAGUGAAAACUCGGAGCUUAACUCCGAGCCUGCUUCCGAUACGGGCAGACUAGAGGUAGGCAGGGGAGAGCGGAACUCCUGGUGUAGCGGUGGAAUGCGCAGAUAUCAGGAAGAACACCGGUGGCGAAGGCGGCUCUCUGGGCCUUACCUGACGCUGAGGAGCAAAAGCGUGGGUAGCGAACAGG